rnacentral:lncRNA from 1 species
CAAACUCAAACACAUAUUCAUAUUGAUUCUCAAUUAACCAAUGAUGACUUCAAUGAAGAAGCAUUAGAAACUCUUUCUAAUCUCCUUUCUACUUUUGGCCAAAAAAUUUUUCCUGAGUCAUCUACGAAUGAGAAUACACAGGAUGCGACUCUUCUUACUAGGAGCGAUUGAUUCCAUAUUGACCUACUCACAACCUUCAUACAUACUCCUACC